GUGCCAGCCGCCGCGGUAAUACGAGUGGUGCAAGCGUUAUUCGGAAUCAUUGGGCGUAAAGGGUGUGUAGACGGCAUGCUAAGUCAACUGUUAAAUUCUCCGGCCUAACCGGAGGCGUGCAGUAGAUACUGAUGUGCUAGGGGGUGGAAGAGAGAAGCGGAAUUCUCGGAGUAGCGGUAAAAUGCGUAGAUCUCGAGAGGAACACCAAUGGCGAAGGCAGCUUCUUGGUCCACUACUGACGUUGAGACACGAAAGCGUGGGGAGCAAACAGGAUUAGAUACCCUGGUAGUCCACGCUGUAAACGAUGAUCACUGGACGUUAGUUCUGUUUUUACGGAAUUAGUGUCGUAGCUAACGCGUUAAGUGAUCCGCCUGGGAAUUACGGUCGCAAGAUUAAA
rnacentral:rRNA from 1 species